GUGAGGAAUCUUCCGCAAUGGGCGAAAGCCUGACGGAGCGACACCGCGUGGAGGAAGAAGGCCUUUUGGUUGUAAACUCCUUUUCUGGGGGAAUAACUGAUGAAGGUACCCCAGGAAUAAGCACCGGCUAACUACGUGCCAGCAGCCGCGGUAAUACGUAGGGUGCAAGCGUUAUCCGGAAUUAUUGGGCGUAAAGCGUUCGUAGGCCGUUUGGCAAGUUUGCGGUUAAAUCCGGUCGCUCAACGAUCGAAUUGUCGCAAAAACUACCAAACUAGAGAAUGGCAAAGGUAACUGGAAUUCCGCAUGUAGGGGUAAAAUCCGUUGAUAUGCGGAGGAACACCAAAAGCGAAAGCAGGUUACUGGGCCAUUUCUGACGCUGAGGAACGAAAGCGUGGGGAGCAAACAGGAUUAGAUACCCGGGUAGUCC
rnacentral:rRNA from 1 species